rnacentral:rRNA from 1 species
GACGAACGCUGGCGGCGUGCCUAAUACAUGCAAGUAGAACGCUGGAGGAGGAGCUUGCUUCUCCGGAUGAGUUGCGAACGGGUGAGUAACGCGUAGGUAACCUGCCUGGUAGCGGGGGAUAACUAUUGGAAACGAUAGCUAAUACCGCAUAAGAGUAGAUGUUGCAUGACAUUUGCUUAAAAGGUGCAAUUGCAUCACUACCAGAUGGACCUGCGUUGUAUUAGCUAGUUGGUGGGGUAACGGCUCACCAAGGCGACGAUACAUAGCCGACCUGAGAGGGUGAUCGGCCACACUGGGACUGAGACACGGCCCAGACUCCUACGGGAGGCAGCAGUAGGGAAUCUUCGGCAAUGGACGGAAGUCUGACCGAGCAACGCCGCGUGAGUGAAGAAGGUUUUCGGAUCGUAAAGCUCUGUUGUAAGAGAAGAACGAGUGUGAGAGUGGAAAGUUCACACUGUGACGGUAUCUUACCAGAAAGGGACGGCUAACUACGUG